UACGGAGGGUGCGAGCGUUGUCCGGAAUCAUUGGGCGUAAAGGGCGCGUAGGUGGCCCGGUCAGUUCGUGGUGAAAGCGCGGGGCUCAACCCUGCGUCGGCCAUGAAUACUGCCGCGGCUGGAGCACUGUAGAGGCAGGCGGAAUCCGGGUGUAGCGGUGGAAUGCGUAGAGAUCCGGAAGAACACCGGUGGCGAAGGCGGCCGACU
rnacentral:rRNA from 1 species